GGUGGCUCAGUGGUAGAGCGCUUGCGUUGCAUGCCUGAGGCCCUGGGUUGGAUUCCCAGCACCA
rnacentral:tRNA from 1 species